rnacentral:Y_RNA from 1 species
GGCCAGUCAGAAGGUAGUGAGUUAUCUCAAUUGAUUGUUCACAUCAGUUACAGGUCAAACUCCUUGCUCUACUCUUUCCCUUUUCUCGCUGCUGCACUGGACUAGUCUAAU